UACAGAGGUCUCAAGCGUUUGUUCGGAUUCAUUGGGCGUAAAGGGUGCGUAGGCGGCGCGGUAAGUCGGGUGUGAAAUCUCGGAGCUUAACUCCGAAACUGCAUUCGAUAACUGCCGUGCUUGAGGACUGGAGAGGAGACUGGAAUUUACGGUGUAGCGGUGAAAUGCGCAGAUAGUCAGGAGGAACACCGAUGGCGAAGGCAGGUCUCUGGGCAUUAACUGACGCUGAGGAGCGAAAGCAUGGGGAGCGAACAGG
rnacentral:rRNA from 1 species